UUCAGUUCCCCAUAAUGCAGAUCCGAAGCUUUAGCAAUCUUCUUAAUCUUCUUGGUCUUUGGUUGUAGCUAUCAAAGCCAGCACUUGUACCAGUCAAAGCUAACACUGAUACCCCAGGAACAUGGUUCCUUACAGACGAAAGGUUGGGAUAGCUGGGCCUGAAGAAGUGCAUGGAAAAAAUAUUGAGAGUUUGAGACUACAGAUAGAGUAUGAUGAUAAACUACUGAAACUGAUAGAUUCGAAUGUCAUUCCCGCUGUUAAGCAAAACUAAGAACAAAAGUUCUUCAUCCUGUUUGGUGCAUUACCUUGUUAUGUCGUCAUCACAUACUACUUAAUAGCUCCGAGAUGCGCAUCUGAUAAAAAAACACCAUCCCCACAUGGAAAUGACAAACUCUACCAUAAAUG